rnacentral:rRNA from 1 species
GGACUACACGGGUUUCUAAUCCUGUUUGCUCCCCACGCUUUCGCGCCUCAGCGUCAGUAACGGGCCAGUGAGUCGCCUUCGCCACUGGUGUUCUUCCGAAUAUCUACGAAUUUCACCUCUACACUCGGAGUUCCACUCACCUCUCCCGUACUCAAGACAGCCAGUAUCAAAGGCAAUUCCAAGGUUGAGCCCUGGGCUUUCACCUCUGACUAAACUGUCCGCCUACGCGCCCUUUACGCCCAGUAAAUCCGAGCAACGCUAGCCCCCUUCGUAUUACCGCGGCGGCUGGCAC